CUUGGUGAUUCAUGAUAACUUCUCGAAUCGCACGGCCUUGUGCCGGCGAUGGUUCAUUCAAAUUUCUUCCCUAUCAACUUUCGAUGUUUGGGUAGUGGCCAAACAUGGUUGCAACGGGUAACGGAGGGUUAGGGCUCGACCCCGGAGAAGGAGCCUGAGAAACGGCUACUACAUCCAAGGAAGGCAGCAGGCGCGCAAAUUACCCAAUCCCGAUUCGGGGAGGUAGUGACAAUAAAUACUGAUACAGGGCUCUUUUGGGUCUUGUAAUUGGAAUGAGUACAAUUUAAAUCCCUUAACGAGGAACAAUUGGAGGGCAAGUCUGGUGCCAGCAGCCGCGGUAAUUCCAGCUCCAAUAGCGUAUAUUAAAGUUGUUGUGGUUAAAAAGCUCGUAGUUGAACCUUGGGCCUGGCUGGCCGGUCCGCCUCACCGCGUGUACUGGUCCGGCCGGGCCUUUCCCUCUGUGGAACCCCAUGCCCUUCACUGGGCGUGGCGGGGAAACAGGACUUUUACUUUGAAAAAAUUAGAGUGCUCCAGGCAGGCCUAUGCUCGAAUACAUUAGCAUGGAAUAAUGAAAUAGGACGUGCGGUUCUAUUUUGUUGGUUUCUAGGACCGCCGUAAUGAUUAAUAGGGACAGUCGGGGGCAUCAGUAUUCAAUUGUCAGAGGUGAAAUUCUUGGAUUUAUUGAAGACUAACUACUGCGAAAGCAUUUGCCAAGGAUGUUUUCAUUAAUCANGAA
rnacentral:rRNA from 1 species